rnacentral:rRNA from 1 species
CUCAAUGGUUUUUAAAUUGCUGUAGUAUUUUGACUAUACAAAGGUAUUGUAAUAAGGCUUUAAUUGAGCGCUAAGAGAAUGGAUUUUCAAAAAAAUUCUUUUUUGAAUUUAAAAAUUGAAGUUAUUUUUAUUUGUGAAGAAGCAACAAUAAAAAUUAAAGACAAGAAGGCCCUAUGAAUUUUUUUUAAAACAUAAUUAAUAUUAUAAUUGUGUCUUAAUUAAUUGGGGCGAUUAAAUCAAAUUAUAAACUUUUUAUAAAAAUAAAAUGAUCCACAAAUUGUGAUUUUAUGAAAUAAAUACUCUAGGGAUAACAGCGUAAUAAUUUUAGAUAGAUCAUAUAGAAAAAAUAGUUUGCGACCUCGAUGUUGGAUUAGGAUACUUUUUUAAUGAAGAAGUAAAAAGAAGUUUGUUCAACUUUUAAUAUCCUACUUGAUCUGAGUCCAAACCGGAUUU